CUCCUGGGAAGUCCUCGUGUUGCACCCGGGUGCGAUCAUACCAACAC
rnacentral:rRNA from 1 species